UACGUAGGUGGCAAGCGUUGUUCGGAAUUACUGGGCGUAAAGGGCUCGUAGGCGGCCAACUAAGUCAGACGUGAAAUCCCUCAGCUUAACUGGGGAACUGCGUCUGAUACUGGAUGGCUUGGAUUCGGGAGAGGAAUGCGGAAUUCCAGGUGUAGCGGUGAAAUGCGUAGAUAUCUGGAGGAACACCGGUGGCGAAGGCGGCUACCUGGACAAUUGCUGACGCUCAGGCACGAAAGCGUGGGGAGCAAAAGGG
rnacentral:rRNA from 1 species